UACGUAGGGGGCAAGCGUUGUCCGGAAUUAUUGGGCGGAAAGCGCGCGCAGGCGGUCUCUUAAGUCUGAUGGGAAAUCCCGUGGCUUAACCACGGGCGGUCAUUGGAAACUGGGGGACUUGAGUGCAGAAGAGAAGAGCGGAAUUCCACGUGUAGCGGUGAAAUGCGUAGAGAUGUGGAGGAACACCAGUGGCGAAGGCGGCUCUUUGGUCUGUAACUGACGCUGAGGCGCGAAAGCGUGGGGAGCGAACAGG
rnacentral:rRNA from 1 species